CAAAGGAUCCUAAACCCUAAUAUUUUUCUUUUGCUCUCCCUCUCUUUUCUCCAUUUUUCUCCGUCCAGCAGGCUGUGGUCAAACCCCCGCAUCGCGUGUUCUUGAGCCACCUGCAAUGGCAGUCGUCUCCCUCUCCUCGUCUUUCUCUUCUCCUCUGUUUUCCUCUUGCGCCCGUCUCCUUUUCUCUACGCCAGAUCAGCAGCCACUGGAAAGCCUCCAGUACGGCAGCAUCUUUAGCCAUCAGCGACAAUAGCAAGCUGACAACGAUAACAACAAGAACAACUCCAACAGCCGACGAGGACAACAGUGACCAGGCGACCUCCGGCGAAAACCACAACAACAUUAGCUAUGGUGAGAAGCAACGAGUUUAAUGACAAUAACGAUCAACGUUUGACGACAGAUUUGAUCGGUUCGAAGUUGAGAUUUUGAUCUACUAAAGACGGAUCUUGUUAGGAUUCCUCCGGGUAGAUAAGCGAAGUUCGAAGAAGCAUGAAACACAAAAAGAGGCACAUGCAAAGACACCCAAGAAGAGGGGUAGAAAGCUUGCAAUCGCCAUAUCCAGACCUCCACUGCCACCGCUUAUUUAGGUUCCGAACUCCCCCAAAACGUGAAUCCAUCAAUGUUCUUCACGUUUAACAGGAAUGGCAGCGCGUAAACAACGACGCAGACGGAAAGCAGCAGCACCAGUAUGCGUACAAGUGCAGGCUUUUCCUUGUCGUCUUCUUUCUUUCUCUCGACCAACAGUGCGCCUAGUACUGUUCCAGCUUUGAGGCAGACACGUUUCGUCCUUGUGGCUGCGGGAUCGCUCCACGUAGCUCUCAAGGACAAUGGAUCGAUCAAAGCCGUUCGUCUUACUUUUCUCUUGUGGAAUGAGGUGAAAACUUCAUGAAAAUGUGUCUCCCUUAAUUUCUGAAAGAGGUUGGGAUUUUGAAUUUGGAGUUGGGCCCUUCUAACUCGAUUCCCUCCCUUUUUCUCCUUAUUUUCAUCUAUAAAUAGCUCAUCCUUCUUGAUUUUUUGGGGUUGGUUUUUAUUUUGACUAGUGGAAAAAUAGGAAGAAAGUAGGAAAAAUGUGGAGAAAAGUUUAGAGGAAAAAUUGGAAAAGCUGGCUUGAAAUAGUGAGCAAAGAAAUUACGAAAAGAAAUUCAUCAAGCAUAGUCAAAAGAAAUCAAAGUAGAAAUUAGGACGGUAGCUGAGUUUCUGAGUCCUCUGUUUGGAAUUCGAGUUUCCGUCAUUGCUUCAUCUUUAGUUGUGGAAGUCAGUUCAACCUCCCUAACGUUUUUUUCAUAUUUAUUUUUAUUUAUUUAUUCUUUUACGCAGCGUUUAAGAUUGCUGUUUUGUUGUUGUAUUUUUGCCAUCUAGCAUUGGGUAGUGGCAACUGGUGUAUGCUUAACGUGUUACUUUUAAAGGAUUUCCCUUAGAUUCCUGUUGAUAUGAGUCGAAAACUUUGUUGCUUUAGAGUUA